UACGGAGGGGGCUAGCGUUGUUCGGAAUUACUGGGCGUAAAGCGCGCGUAGGCGGACCUGCAAGUCGGGGGUGAAAGCCCGAGGCUCAACCUCGGAACUGCCUUCGAUACUGCGGGUCUCGAGUCCGGGAGAGGUGAGUGGAAUUCCUAGUGUAGAGGUGAAAUUCGUAGAUAUUAGGAAGAACACCCGUGGCGAAGGCGGCUCUCUGGGACGGUACUGACGCUGAGACGCGAAAGCGUGGGGAGCGAACAGG
rnacentral:rRNA from 1 species